rnacentral:rRNA from 1 species
UGGGGAAUAUUGCACAAUGGGCGGAAGCCUGAUGCAGCAACGCCGCGUGAGUGAUGAAGGCCUUCGGGUUGUAAAGCUCUGUCUUUUGGGACGAUAAUGACGGUACCAAAGGAGGAAGCCACGGCUAACUACGUGCCAGCAGCCGCGGUAAUACGUAGGUGGCAAGCGUUGUCCGGAUUUACUGGGCGUAAAGGAUGCGUAGGCGGACUUUUAAGUGAGAUGUGAAAUACCCGGGCUUAACUUGGGUGCUGCAUUUCAAACUGGGAAUCUAGAGUGCGGGAGAGGAGAAUGGAAUUCCUAGUGUAGCGGUGAAAUGCGUAGAGAUUAGGAAGAACACCAGUGGCGAAGGCGAUUCUCUGGACCGUAACUGACGCUGAGGCAUGAAAAGCGUGGGUAGCAAACAGGAUUAGAUACCCUGGUAGUCCACGCCGUAAACGAUGAGUACUAGGUGUAGGAGGUAUCGACCCCUUCUGUGCCGCAGUUAACACAAUAAGUACUCCGCCUGGGAAGUACGAUCGCAAGAUUAAAAACUU